GACAGAGGUGCCAAGCGUUAGGCGGAAUCACUGGGCUUAAAGCGUGUGUAGGCGGACCCGUAAGUACCUUGUGAAAUCCCUCAGCUUAACUGGGGAACUGCGUCUGAGACUGGCCGGCUUGAGUGCAGGAGAGGAACGCGGAAUUCCAGGUGUAGCGGUGAAAUGCGCAGAUAUCAGGAAGAACACCCGUGGCUAAGGCGGUUCUCUAGUACGGUACUGACGCUGAGACGCGAAAGCGUGGGGAGCGAACAGG
rnacentral:rRNA from 1 species